AGCGAACGCUGGCGGCAGGCCUAACACAUGCAAGUCGAACGGAUCCUUCGGGAUUAGUGGCGGACGGGUGAGUAACACGUGGGAACGUGCCCUUUGGUUCGGAACAACUCAGGGAAACCUGAGCUAAUACCGGAUGUGCCCUUCGGGGGAAAGAUUUAUCGCCAUUGGAGCGGCCCGCGUCUGAUUAGCUAGUUGGUGAGGUAAAGGCUCACCAAGGCGACGAUCAGUAGCUGGUCUGAGAGGAUGAUCAGCCACAUUGGGACUGAGACACGGCCCAAACUCCUACGGGAGGCAGCAGUGGGGAAUCUUGCGCAAUGGGCGAAAGCCUGACGCAGCCAUGCCGCGUGAAUGAUGAAGGUCUUAGGAUUGUAAAAUUCUUUCACCUGGGACGAUAAUGACGGUACCCGGAGAAGAAGCCCCGGCUAACUUCGUGCCAGCCGCCGCAGUAAUAC
rnacentral:rRNA from 1 species